rnacentral:lncRNA from 1 species
GGACAGAAAACAUUUUUUAUUUAUAUCUUUGACAUUUAAAAGAGCAGAAUUAAUUUGUCCUGUCUACAUUAGCAUUGAGAGAAAGUUUCAGAAAUCUACCCGGGGGGAAAGGGAGGGGGGGAAAAGAAAAAGAGAAAAAAGAAAGCGAAGAAAGGAAAAGAAAAGCUAGGCUUGGUUUUUCUUAUUUCAGAUCUGUAAUCAAUCAUUGAAAUAGGAGGCAGCAAAACUGUAAAGAUUCGAUAGAUUAAAAUGCAAAUGAAAGGUAGAAAAAGAAACAUUAACAUGGCGAUCAAAGAUUUAAUAACCAUAAAUCAAGUUUUUUUUCUGUUGCAGCUGCAGUUUGUGUGUUUAUGUUUUAAUCAUGUUCGUUCCAUAAAUAAAUAAUUUUGAAACGAGACUAAUUUUUCAUUAUUUUAACAGUGGGCUACAACACUAAAUAUUAAAAAUAGAAAGAGUAUAUGAUGCAGAUCCCCAACCAAAUAAGAGAAAGACUUGUGUUGAUUGGUUAAAAUCAAGGGGUUUCAAUUUUAUGUUUUGAAAAUCAGAGUAUUAUGCUAAAAAAUUCUAUCUUAACUGACAAAGCCCAAAGUUUUAUUUUCUCUUUAAUAUUUUAUGUUAACGACAAGAUACCAUUUAUAUUAAAUAUAUGCAUGGCUACGUAUCCAUUCCAGUCUGAGCAUUUUCAAAGAACGGAAGUGUCAGAAUAUUAAAUAAUACAAACAUAUAUUAUUUCAAAGUGCCUUGACAGAAUUUCUGGAAAAUAAUACUCUUUAGGAUAAUCUGCCUUCCAGAGAAAAAAGUGAUGGUUCAACACAGUUAAAACUUUUCUAGCUUUAUUAUUAAAGUUAUUUUUCCAAGGGGGAAUAUUUUAGCCGUUUGUUUUAUUAUUCAAUUUAAGGUUUUAUGUCAAUGUGUCAAAUUAUCAGAGCACACUCUAAGUACUCAUUUUCUCAACUAUAAUGAAAACUUUUCAUUUAGAUCUUUUUAUGUAAAACAUUAAUUUAUAUCGUUAAUUUAGAAGUAUCUAGAACUUAAAAAAUAAAACACCUGAACUUAGUUUCUCUCUCUCUCUCUCUUUCUCUCUGUCAACAUCUUAUUAACAUAGAGAGGACAUACAUUUUCAGAAAAUUUGAAACUUUUUUUUUCUGCUAAUACAGACUUGCAAUGUUUAAAAUAAGCUUUUUGCUUAAUUCUGCUUUUGAAGGAAUGAUUCCCCCUAGUAUACUAAAAUGAUGGGUUAGAAUUGUUUCAAUUUCUCCUCUUUCCACAAAUGAUCACCAAAUAUGGAAUACAUAUUUCCUUUCUGAAACCUUUAAGUUAAAUGUGAGCUAAGUUUAUGUCCACUCGCCGCCCCCCGCCCCCCCCCCCGCAGCCGAACAAUCACGUUUUCACUGUGACAGUCCAAUAAUGCAUUUAGUUUAAAAUUACAAUUACACUUGGACCUUUUCUCCUUUGUAUUUUUUCAUUUACUUCAGUGCAACAAGAUGACUUGAUUUCCAUAGGAUUACACGAACUCUAUUCAGUGUUACUGGGAUAUUUCUGCUCAACUAAAUGCUUGCCUUAAUAGACAAAUGAACUUCUUUUUAUUUGCUGGAGUUUGUAGAUGGUUUUAGAUAACAGUGUGCAACUGAUUUAGUUAUUGUUGUUGUGAGAAUCGAACAGCCACAAAAGUCAUUUCUCUAAACUGAAGAGAUAUGACUCUGUAAAAAGGAGAAGCAAGGGCAGAAUCAUGGGGAAUUAUUUCAGUUUAUAGCUAUUAUUAAUUAAACUGGAUGUGGUUUUAUUCUGAUCUUUUAGUACCGACCUUGUUAAAAGCUCCCAGCUACCUGCCUUUUUCCCCUCAUCCCCAAUUUUUUUUCUAUUUAUUAGGACUCAUGUGGAUUGGGAUUGCCUUUUCUGUAUUAUAUUACCAAGCAGUUACAGUGUAAAAUCUCAUGCACCUUCAGACGAUCGCACCCCUCCCAGGGGGAAAAAAAAAAAAGAAAUGCUUUUUUUUCAUUCAGUUUUAGCAUCUUGUUUCGUUGAAAUGCAAGACAGGUACUUGAUUUAGCAUUUAAGCAAAAGGUUACACAAACCGCGUUUUAGAAAGUGUUGGGAUGUCCGACAGGGUCAGCCCUAGAUCAGAUCAUUUUUUGAAUGCAGACCUAAAGAUAAUGAGUACUUGUUGUAUUAAAGGGGACAAACAGUACUUUGGCUUCCUCUGACCCCAGAAUGCACGGCUCGGUUUCAUUGAUCAUCCUCCUUUAUGAGAUAAUGCAAUUACAAACAUCAAUAAGGGGCUGCAAGGGGAAUCAUUAUGCGGUGACAGUGAUAAAUGACGGUGCAGAAAUAGCAUGCUUUUCCCCCCUAACAAUCCAGGAGCCCAGGGGCUCCGGGGGCUGAACACAGUCGCCAAGGAAACAGAUGACAUCCCAAACGGCACCAAAAGAAAAAAAAUGAACAGUCUUUCUUUGCCUUUCACUCUUUUCCGUCUUCCAAAGAGUUAGUUUUGGCUCAAGCAGCAGCUGCUACACAAGGCAUUUCGUUAUUUCAAACAUUAAAGACUGGAACGGGCAGUGGGAGUCUCCUCCCCUUUCAUCCCCACCCCCACUAGAUAACACACAAAGCUCGCUGUUCACAGUUUAGGACUACCUGAAAAUGCACGUCUCAAAAAUCAGAUUGGGAUGGGGUGGAGGGGCGUCGGGAACGUGGAUUUGCACAGCCCUUGCGUUGUGUUUCCCCUGCUUUUGUCCAGUGGAAACUGAGUCUCCAGAACAAGCUGGCGCCUCGCGGGUCGGCCAGUAAGGGAACGGGUGCGCGUGGCUCGCCUCCAUCUCCCCGCAGUGCCAGACGCUGCUCUGUGCCAAGGCGGGGGCUGAGGAGCAGGCGACUGCUGGGGGUGUUUGCUGCUGUGCUGGGUUUCUUUGGGAUGGAGUUAUCAAUGGGCGCAGAGAUCGUCCCUAAAUCGAGAAAUCUGGUUCUUUAAAGCCUCAGGGUGCCCUCAGCAAGCGGCUUCAAAAGGGCCUCACUGAACAUUCCCCACCCCACCCAUGCCCAGAAAGGUGGGCGAGGUAGAUGGGCGCAAAAAGGCGUCGGGCUACCAGACUUCUGCGACGGCCCUGAGGCAGCGGGGGACUAGGAGAGGGGCAGAACCUCUGGACACUAGCUCCGCCUAGGGAGAGAAUGUUUCAGACUCCUUGGCGGGUAGAGCGGGCCGAAAAGGGAGCCCUCCCUCUCCCAGCCAUCAGCUGUCUUCCUCAGGUCCCCGACCCCACCUUUCUCGCUCACUACUUUUUCCCCAAACCCUGGGAUUCCCAGGCUCCUGUAGUCUCCGCACCGUGGCCACCUUAAGUGAAACGCGCCGCUAGCAGCCAGUGGGUAAGGCAUGGCAUGGGAGACGAGAAUGAGACAAGGAAAAGUGCCCAGCCAGGCAGGGCGCCCCACUACCCAGUUCCACGCCUCUCUCCAUCGGCGUCCAAGCGCCUACCCGGGAGCUUUGCAGCAUGAAGUUACGUUUUUACUGCCUUCCGGUGGGCCAAGGGCCUGAGGGUAUCCGAAAGGCUGGGGAAAGUUUGCAGAGCUUUUAAAGUGAUCCUGAGGAGCUUCUGCCUAAGGCGUCGGGGUGCUGUCUACGGCUUCCCGGCUGCGGCUCCAGACUCGGGCACUCUCCUCCCAACGCCCUCCUAGUGGGCCGUGCACGCGUUCCAUGUGCCCUCCAGCCCCCAGGCUCUCUGGGUCGCGCUCCCAGGGCCACUAUGGGACUCUGGAGUCUGGGGCCCCCGAUGUGGCAAAGUCUAUUAGGAAGUCUCCAGGCUACUACAAAGCACUCCGUGAGGUUCCGAGGAAAGAGCGCCCGGACCUGCACCCAGGAGGUGCCUCUCCACAACCUCCUUCGCAGACCCCUGGUCGCCCCAUCUCCAGAGACAAAGUCAACAGUCCCUUAGACUAGACUCAGAUGGGGGUGAGGGCAGGAGGGUAAGGCAGGCGCCCGUGCAGCCCCCCCACCCCCGCCACCCCCCGCGACCAGAGCUGUGGUCUCUGGGCAAAGACCUGCCCGCCCACGCACUGGGGCCUAGGCCGGGACCCAGCGCAUCGAGGGACUCAGGGGUAGCACGUCCUGGCUGGAGCUCUGCGCAGUUGCCCGCUGGAUUUCCUCUCGGGGCACGGAGCCGGGCCCAACCCCAGGACUGGAGCCUAUACCCUUCCGCUCCUCCCGCAGACUUGGGGGACACUGCACACAGCAACUAACCCCGAUCGCAAAGUCGAGCGCGAAGUCUGCACGCCGCGUGGGAGACGCGAGAGGGAGGGGGAGGGCAGGGCUUGCGUUUUUCCUUUUCAGAAUCCUUCGACUUCACUACGAAGUUUGCUGGUAGGCGCCUCUGCUCCGGGGUCGGAGCCUCCCACCAAGGCUCCUUCCCCUCCCCUUCUCCCCGCCCCCGCGAGCCGAAGCAGCCGCAGCCUCCACCAGGACCCGGCCGCCCGCUCGAUCCCCCUGACCCGGACCCUGCGCCCAGGUUGCAGCGCCGCCCUCCCGGCCUUGCCCCCGGGCUCGGCUGGGGGCUCUUUUCCCCGGGGCGAAACUCGCCCGCCUGGCUCACUUCAAGGAGACACCCGCUGCCUCCCGAGGAACUCCUAAUACCAUCCAUACAGCUUUAAUGCGUUUAUAAUUCGAUAAGUGAUUUCAAUUUGAAAUUGUUAGUAACUAAUUUUAUGGGUAAUUUUUCCACAUCAAAUAUUUAAGCAUCAGAUUAAGGGAGCCAGUUCCGACACUGGAUAAUAAGGGGGUUUCCCCCACUCCCGCGCCUCCGCCUCCCUCCGUUUCCUACCGAGUCGUUUUUCGAAAUCCCCAAAAGAUGGCAGUCGAAGCCGACUUUCCUCUUUUCCUGUGGCUCUGCGAAGGGAGGGGGAGAGAGGAGGAUGGGGGAGUGCGAGAGUGGGGGGCGGAGAGAGAGAGAGAGACAGAGAGAGAGAAGGAGGAGGAGGAGAAGGAGAAGAAAAAAAGGGGGGAGAGAAAAGCUAGACGGUGCAUGGACUUUUCAGACGAAUUCUUUCACACGUUUCUAAUACAAGCGAAAAGCAGUGGUGAAUUUCCUGGAAAAGUCCUGGCAGAAAUGAAAGCCAAAAAACGUGCCUUGUGGCCUCAGGGUACGGGAUGUGAGAAACUCAGCACAUUCAAGCUAAAUCUUCAUUUUAGAACAGGAGAGGGAGAGGGAGACCCAGAGAGGAACCGACUCGACUGACUUUAGGGUCUUUCUUUGUAUUUUAACAUUGUAUAUAAAUACUACACAACUAGGCAACGUGUUUCCUCGAGGACUGGACUCUGCGAAUUACAUAAUGAGGGGAAAGAGGUAGGGGUGGGGAAGGGGAAGGGGUGGGGGCAGACUGCAGCGGGCGGAGGGGAGACUGGGGCGAGCAGCGGAUGAAUUGCAGACCAGUUGCCAAAACUUUUUUUUUUUCCCUGCUGCUGCUGCUGCGGCUGCCUUUGCUGCUGCCUUUGCUUUGAAUGUGGGUAACUAGGAAACAGCAAGCCGUCUGAGAAGACGGAAUUUCCAACGUGUAAAAUGUUCUUAACGGAACCAUUGAGCGAGUGCAAUAAGGCGUGAGGGGGAACUAAUCUUCCCAUUUAAAUGUUUGUGGCAAUUUUAUCUAAAUGAAUUUUAAUGCUAAACGAGGGUAAUUCCCCAUUUGUAGCGCGUUUACUUCUCUUUCCUGUGCUUCUAAAGCAGUCGAACAUCAUGCAAUGAACAAUAACAAUAAAAAUACUGUCAAGGCAUAUUAUUCAUUUUGAAUGUGUUAUAAUUACAGCUGAUUAAAUAUGAUAGGGUAAAAUAUUUUUAAUUUUUUGAAAAAAAAAUUUAAAUCAUAUUAAAAAGUAGUCUCAUUCAGCCAGAGCCAGCCCCCUUUCCACCCCCCCCCCACCCCCCCACCCCCCCACCACCAAAUAAAAAUAAAAACCAGGUACAAUUUUGUGCCCUUGUUUAGAGGAGGGCGUUUUGUUUUUGCCUUUUAGGAAACAUCAAAAACACUCUCAGCACCUCUAUUAUUUGCCUCUUUCGGAUAAGUGUCCUCAAUAACCUUCGAGCUGGCUCUGAAAUUUACAAGAGGAAAAGCUAAAAUAGCAUUAAGAGGGGAGGGCAUCGAGGCAGGGGAAGAAAGGAACUGCGAAGAGCGAGGCUCUCACCUAAAUGGCUCACAGAGGGGGAACUCACGGAAAUAGCAGUUUAUUUUUUCUAAUUCCUGGACACUGCUGAUCUCGAUUCUUCAGAGUCACCAUAUUCCCUAACUACUCUUCACUUGUAAACCUCCCUCCCCUAGCGCCUCUCUCUUUCUCUCUGUCUCUCCCUCUCGCCUCUCUCCCUCUCCCCACCACACCUCCUCCCCUUUCUUUCCCUCCCCCACCCAUCCUGAGCCUCCUCAGGAAUAAAGGCUGAAAAUAACCAACUCACCCGGGCAUGUACUGGAGAGGAGGAGCAAAUAGACAGUUUAUAAAGUUUAUUAUUAAUUGUUAAAGUAAAUAAAUGGUUGUUAACUGCUAGCAACCACCUAUCAAAAGAGAAUGAUUUCACUCACAUCGACUAUUUAGGUAGAGGAAGAAUUGCCACUAGGUCAACAAGGGAGAUUUAAACAAUCCCAUCUAUGGGCUGGGGAGGGGUAGAAGCGCUGCCAGAGAUGGCUGCAGUAGGCUGAGCCUUGCUCUCUGCGCAUCCACGUGUUUAGAAACAAGGCCCCAUCAGCAAAAGUCUCCUUAAGACACUGCCUGCAAC